AUGAGGGGCAUUAUUUGGAACUUGAGAGGGUUCGAUCAACCAGACAGAAGAAGGCAGCUGAUCCAAUACAUCUAUGACCAAUGCCUUGAUUUUGUUGGGCUUCAGGAGACCAUUCGUACAACCUUCUCGCAGAUUGAAUUAGACUCCUUGGCGGGAGCUCUCACAUUCCACUGGGAGUGGGUUCCGGCUAAUGGUCACUCGGGGGGGAUCCUUGUUGGGGUAAAUAAAGACACAUUCGAUGUGAUAUCAUUCUCCAGGGGGGAAUUUUUCUUGGCAGUAGACCUGAUUCAACAUAAUAAUAACUUUUGGUGGUAG
rnacentral:rRNA from 1 species